UGGGGAUUGAACCCAGGACCUCGUACUUGGGAAGUACGUGCUCAACCACUGAGCUAUAACCCUCCCUACUGUUUUUAUUUUGAGGUAUGAAAUUCAAGACUACUCAAGAAUGAAGUGAAAGAAUGGAAAUAGAAGCCACUGGAUCUGCCACCAAGGCGGCUUGGUUUUCUUUUCACAUGAAGUUGUACAAUGGUAGAUGGAGUGAUGAUUCUUCCUGUGCUAAUGGUGAUUGCCUUCCCUUCCCCUAGUAUGGAAGGUAAGUGACUCAGAGUAAUUUGGGUUAUUAUAAGCCAGGCAGUUCUUAAUGCUAUCAGAUGCCACACAC
rnacentral:lncRNA from 1 species